rnacentral:tRNA from 4 species
GGGCGAUUAGCUCAGCGGGAGAGCACCUCGUUGACAUCGAGGGGGUCACUGGUUCAAUCCCAGUAUCGCCCACCA